AACGAAGCCAAAAACGCAAGCAGAUGCCUCACACUAUGGAGCACAAGAAUGAACCUGAACUUAUGACUGCUGGGAAAUGGAGUUCAGAGAAAGUCAUGUGACAAUCAGAAGCUCCACCCACCACACAGAUUUUUAUAUGAAAAGAGGAAAUAAGGUCAUUUCUAGUAUCGGAUGAUAUUGACAGAGCAUUAGCAAGAAAAUUCAUGAAGCUUUGAGGCUAUUUAAAGAAGAGGAAAGCAUUAAAGAAGAAUGGUGGCUAGAAAGGGAAAAGCAGGACAUGAGGUCAUCAGAGGAGACAACAUAUUACUCUAUAUACUACACUCCGCCAGAAGAAGCGCAAACCAGAGCGAAACAACUUGCCAACUUGUCCCGGUGGGCCCCUGCCUCCACUGAUCUAUGCCUGUACCUUGUUGAAUAAAGCCUGUGGAUGGUGUGAGGCCACUAGAACCAGCAAGAAGAAUAAAAGCAUUCAGAAUGCUAUGUUAUUUUAAUGUCCCAGCACCAAAGGAUGUACUGUGGGCUAAAGAUAGCCUUUGGCAUCACUGCUGUCUCUAUGUUGGACCAAUUGCUCCAUGAUGUAAUGUAUUAUACUGUUUACUGUUUUGUAUUCCUGUGUUAUGUUCUCCUU